rnacentral:rRNA from 1 species
UACGAAGGGGGCUAGCGUUGCUCGGAAUCACUGGGCGUAAAGGGCGCGUAGGCGGCCAUUCAAGUCGGGGGUGAAAGCCUGUGGCUCAACCACAGAAUUGCCUUCGAUACUGUUUGGCUUGAGUAUGGCAGAGGUCAGUGGAACUGCGAGUGUAGAGGUGAAAUUCGUAGAUAUUCGCAAGAACACCAGUGGCGAAGGCGGCUGACUGGGCCAUUAC